rnacentral:rRNA from 1 species
GACGGCUCAUUACAACAGGUAUAAUUUACUUGAUCUUGAAAGAAUCCUACUUGGRAUAACUGUGGUAAUUCUAGAGCUAAUACAUGCCCUAAAGCUCUGACCUCGCGGGAAGAGUGCAUUUAUUAGAUCAAAACCAAGCGGCUUCGGCCGUCUACCACUGACUUAAAGUAACUAAGCUGAUCGUAUGGUCUUGUACCGACGACGUAUCUUUCAAGUAUCUGCCUUAUCAACUUUCGAUGGUAGUGUAGUGGACUACCAUGGUUGUGACGGGUAACGGAGGAUAAGGGUUCGACUCCGGAGAGGGAGCUUGAGACACGGCUACCAUGUCUAAGGACAGCAGCAGGCGCGCAAAUUACCCACUCUCAGAACGAGGAGGUAGUGACGAAAAAUAACGAGACCGUUCUCUAUGAGGCCGGUCAUCGGAAUGGGUACAAUCUAAACCCUUUAACGAGUAUCUAUGAGAGGGCAAGUCUGGUGCCAGCAGCCGCGGUAAUUCCAGCUCUCAAAAUGCAUAGAAUUAUUGCUGCGGUUAAAAAGCUCGUAGUUGGAUCUGUGCUGGAAACUGGGUCCGCCUUCGGGUGUGCACUCAGCUUUCCGGCUUUUUGCUGGUUUUCCCGUUGUGGCCUUUACCGGUUGCAGCGGGUGGCUGGCGAGUUUACCUUGAAGAAAUCAAAGUGCUUAAUACAGGCGAUUUGCUUGAAUGUGGUGCAUGGAAUAAUAGAAAAGGAUUUCGGUUCUCUUUUAUUGGUUUUACGAGCUGAGAUAAUGGUUAACAGAGACAAACGGGGGCAUUCGUAUCGUUGCGUGAGAGGUGAAAUUCUUGGACCGCAGCGAGACGAACUACAGCGAAAGCAUUUGCCAAGAAUGUCUUCAUUAAUCAAGAACGAAAGUCAGAGGUUCGAAGGCGAUCARAUACCGCCCUAGUUCUGACCGUAAACGAUGCCAACUAGCGAUCCGCCGGCGGAUAUUUCGCCCUGGUGGGGAGCUUCCCGGAAACGAAAGUCUUCCGGUUCCGGGGGAAGUAUGGUUGCAAAGCUGAAACUUAAAGGAAUUGACGGAAGGGCACCACCAGGAGUGGAGCCUGCGGCUUAAUUUGACUCAACACGGGGAAACUCACCCGGCCCGGACACCGUGAGGAUUGACAGAUUGAAAGCUCUUUCUUGAUUCGGUGGUUGGUGGUGCAUGGCCGUUCUUAGUU